GUAGGGAAUAUUGCACAAUGGGGGAAACCCUGAUGCAGCGACGCCGCGUGAGUGAUGAAGGCCUUCGGGUCGUAAAGCUCUGUCGUAUGGGACUAACACAAUGAAGGUACCAUGCAAGAAAGGAUCGGCUAACUUCGUGCCAGCAGCCGCGGUAAGACGAGGGAUCCUAGCGUUGUUCGGAAUCAUUGGGCGUAAAGCGGGUGUAGGCGGAUUUAUAAGUCAGGUGUGAAAUCCCAUGGCUCAACCCUGGAAGUGCACUUGAUACUGUAAAUCUUGAGUGUGGUAGAGGUUACUGGAAUUGUUGGUGUAGUGGUGAAAUACGUAGAUAUCAACAGGAAUACCGGAGGCGAAGGCGAGUAACUGGGCCAACACUGACGCUGAGACCCGAAAGCGUGGGGAUCAAACAGGAUUAGAAACCCGAGUAGUCC
rnacentral:rRNA from 1 species